rnacentral:lncRNA from 1 species
AAGGAGAUGAGGAUCCUUAGAAUUCAUCCUGGAGAUCGGUUUCUAUACCAUCAAAAGCUCAUUUUUAUUUCUUUUUGUUAUGAAAUAAUAUAUUGUGCUAAUCCAUUCAUCAAAAAUAUUUAUAAAAUACAAAGAGCAUGUUUGUUAUGAUUAGAAAGAAACCAAGGAAAUCAAGACUUGAGGGGCCAGAAUAUCUGAAAGAAUGGGAAUGCUUGAGAUGAAACCUACCUUUAAUUGCUUUCUUCCUCAGAGUAGUUGCUGAUCUGUGGUACUGAAUUAGAGGACAAGAGAAAAGCAGUGACAGUUUUCCUGAGCUGAGGGAAAGAAAAUUGAAGUUCAGGGUUAUAUGCUACACCAAGGGCCAAUGUAUGUUCUUUAUUAUAAUCCCAAACAUUGGAGCAGAGAGUAAGAUUGUGGAUGAUGUCUUCAGUUACAUAUACCUUGUUAUCAGGACUACAUCACUUCUUUUCUUCCGGCAUGUGAUGAAUAUUGUUUGCAUAAAUUUUUGCAGUAGACUGGAAAUGAUUCUGAGGUUAGAAGGUGGAAGCUUAUUAGUUGUAAAGGAAGGCAAAGUCCACAUACUAACAAUGAUCCUCUUUCAUUGUGGUGUUGGCCUUAUUUUAUGUAUUAUACUUCAUUGGAGGCCUCAAAUAGGUGAAAUUGAUACAUGGAAGACUAAGGUAGCUCUGGUCCAUACA